GACGAACGCUGGCGGCGUGCUUAACACAUGCAAGUCGAACGGAAAGGCCCUGCUUUUGUGGGGUGCUCGAGUGGCGAACGGGUGAGUAACACGUGAGUAACCUGCCCUUGACUUUGGGAUAACUUCAGGAAACUGGGGCUAAUACCGGAUAGGAGCUCCUGCUGCAUGGUGGGGGUUGGAAAGUUUCGGCGGUUGGGGAUGGACUCGCGGCUUAUCAGCUUGUUGGUGGGGUAGUGGCUUACCAAGGCUUUGACGGGUAGCCGGCCUGAGAGGGUGACCGGCCACAUUGGGACUGAGAUACGGCCCAGACUCCUACGGGAGGCAGCAGUGGGGAAUAUUGCACAAUGGGCGGAAGCCUGAUGCAGCAACGCCGCGUGCGGGAUGACGGCCUUCGGGUUGUAAACCGCUUUCGCCUGUGACGAAGCGUGAGUGACGGUAAUGGGUAAAGAAGCACCGGCUAACUACGUGCCAGCAGCCGCGGUGAUACGUAGGGUGCGAGCGUUGUCCGGAUUUAUUGGGCGUAAAGGGCUCGUAGGUGGUUGAUCGCGUCGGAAGUGUAAUCUUGGGGCUUAACCCUGAGCGUGCUUUCGAUACGGGUUGACUUGAGGAAGGUAGGGGAGAAUGGAAUUCCUGGUGGAGCGGUGGAAUGCGCAGAUAUCAGGAGGAACACCAGUGGCGAAGGCGGUUCUCUGGGCCUUUCCUGACGCUGAGGAGCGAAAGCGUGGGGAGCGAACAGGCUUAGAUACCCUGGUAGUCCACGCUGUAAACGGUGGGUACUAGGUGUGGGGUCCAUUCCACGGGUUCCGUGCCGUAGCUAACGCUUUAAGUACCCCGCCUGGGGAGUACGGCCGCAAGGCUAAAACUCAAAGGAAUUGACGGGGCCCCGCACAAGCGGCGGAGCAUGCGGAUUAAUUCGAUGCAACGCGUAGAACCUUACCUGGGUUUGACAUGGAUCGGGAGUGCUCAGAGAUGGGUGUGCCUCUUUUGGGGUCGGUUCACAGGUGGUGCAUGGCUGUCGUCAGCUCGUGUCGUGAGAUGUUGGGUUAAGUCCCGCAACGAGCGCAACCCUUGUUCACUGUUGCCAGCACGUUAUGGUGGGGACUCAGUGGAGACCGCCGGGGUCAACUCGGAGGAAGGUGGGGAUGACGUCAAGUCAUCAUGCCCCUUAUGUCCAGGGCUUCACGCAUGCUACAAUGGCUGGUACAGAGAGUGGCGAGCCUGUGAGGGUGAGCGAAUCUCGGAAAGCCGGUCUCAGUUCGGAUUGGGGUAUGCAACUCGACCUCAUGAAGUCGGAGUCGCUAGUAAUCGCAGAUCAGCAACGCUGCGGUGAAUACGUUCCCGGG
rnacentral:rRNA from 1 species